rnacentral:lncRNA from 1 species
GGUUCUUGCCAGGCCAUUAAAUUUUGAGUUCCAGAAAAGAAAAGGAAAAGUUCUCACACUGAUAAACUCUCCCUUUCCCAAACUCAUCUUCAACCCCCUUGCACUGCCUGUUUAAUUCAGCGUCAUCAGAAAAUAACCCCAAAUGUCUUGCACUCCUGGCUUCUGCUGAUAGAGGAGAAAGGGCUUAAGACCCUGAAAAAAAAAAUUUAUAGGAAAAUUUCCCCAAAAGGUAAGCACAAUAAAAAGUCAAAAGGAGGUACGGGCUGAAGAAUGACUUCCUGCAAUGUGUAAUUUCAAGAAUUAGAGUUUGUCAAAGGUGUUAAAAAUAAAAUGAGUGUGAAUGUCCUACAAGGUUUAUGAGAAAGUUCAGAAGGAAAGUAAAGAAAGACUAAGCAGCAAGACUUUUAGUAUUCCUGUAUCCUGGAGAAGGCAGCACUCGAGCCACCAUCUUGGAAGUGAAGAUCAGGCCCUCAGCAGACACAAAACCUGCCAGUGCCAUGAUCUUGGAUUUUUCAACCUGCAGGACUAUUCAAUGAAAUUCCAAUGAAAAUCUCAAGUUAUUAUGUGAAUAUUGAAAAACGAACCCUAAAGUUUAUAUGGAGAGCCAAAAAAUGCAAAAGAGCCAGCACAUAUUGAAAGAGAAGAACAAAGUCAGAAGAU